rnacentral:tRNA from 4 species
UGGCCUAUGGUGUAAUUGGCAACACACCGGUUUUUGGUACCGACAUUCAAGGUUCGAGUCCUUGUAGGCCAA